GGGAUAUUGCACAAUGGAGGAAACUCUGAUGCAGCGACGCCGCGUGAGUGAAGAAGUAUUUCGGUAUGUAAAGCUCUAUCAGCAGGGAAGAAAAUGACAGUACCUGACCAAGAAGCCCCGGCUAACUACGUGCCAGCAGCCGCGGUAAUACGUAGGGGGCAAGCGUUAUCCGGAUUUACUGGGUGUAAAGGGAGCGUAGACGGAAUGUCAAGUCUGAAGUGAAAUCCCCGGGCUUAACUCGGGAACUGCUUUGGAAACUGGUAUUCUUGAGUGUCGGAGAGGUAAGCGGAAUUCCUGGUGUAGUAGUGAAAUGCGUAGAUAUCAGGAAGAACACCGGAGGCGAAGGCGGCUUACUGGACGAUAACUGACGUUGAGGCUCGAAAGCGUGGGGAGCAAACA
rnacentral:rRNA from 1 species